rnacentral:rRNA from 1 species
UACGGAGGGUGCAAGCGUUGUCCGGAAUCACUGGGCGUAAAGGGUGCGUAGGCGGGUCUUUAAGUCAGGGGUGAAAUCCUGGAGCUCAACUCCAGAACUGCCUUUGAUACUGAAGAUCUUGAGUUCGGGAGAGGUGAGUGGAACUGCGAGUGUAGAGGUGAAAUUCGUAGAUAUUCGCAAGAACACCAGUGGCGAAGGCGGCUCACUGGCCCGAUACUGACGCUGAGGCACGAAAGCGUGGGGAGCAAACAGGG